AAUAAUAAUAGAGGAGCAGCAUUUAAGAGUACCUCAGCAGAGUAAAGCACAAUGAAGCUUUGGAAAAGGAAAUGUUGCCGAAAUAUAUGGCUGACGCUUUAAGGCCAUAUGUUGGGCCUGCAUAGAAUAUGUGCAGGACUGUCACAGGUUAUUGUGGAGGGCUAUUAUUCGA
rnacentral:ncRNA from 2 species